UUAGCCUUGCUCAGGUCGUGCUCUCUGACCGGUGAGGCCCAGCCCCCUGCAAUGCAUCAUGUUCUGGCAGCUGGUUUGUCACUGGAAGAUCUCGAAUCGCACGCACCUGGCAUCUGUCCCCUGCUUUGUGAUUUGUUGAUCGAGGCCAUUUACGUUUAAUCCAUUUUGAGCUUUCUGAUGUCUGGCAUUCGCAACAAGAACAACAACAGUGAUAGAAAGACGCAUUAAGGCUGGCGAGGGAUGGAUAAUACUGUCCGUCCUCACCAUAUCAAUAUUCCUCUUGUAUAGUUCAACAAACAGACUUCAUAUAAAAACCAUAAUGAUUUUUCCUUUGCUUUCACACUAUCACAUGUUGUUACCCAGAUGAGGACGGGUUCCCUUCUGAGUCUGGUUCCUCUCAAGGCUUUUUCCUCAUAUUAUCUCUGAGAGUUUUUCCUCACCACCGUCCCCACUGGCUCACUCAAUUGGGAUUAAUCCAUACACUUAAAAUCUGUAUCCUGUGUUUAUACAUUUCUGUAAAGCUGCUUUGAGACAACGUCCAUUGUAAAAUACACUAUACAAAUAAA